rnacentral:lncRNA from 1 species
GGUGAAAGGAUCGAAUCCACAGGGAAUUGAAGACUUACCUAUUUUCCUUAUCAAGACCAAUAAAAUAAACUGAAACAAAAAUAAACUGCAAAAGAAGAAAACUGAAAACGAGAUAAAACUGAAAUAAGAUAAAACUGAAACGAGAUAAAACUGAAAACGAGAUAAACUGAAACGAGAUAAAACUGAAAUGAGAUAAAACUGAAAGAGAAAUAAACGGAAAGCAAAAUAAACUAAAACGAAAUAAAACUGAAACCAACUAUACUGUAAGUAAAAUGGGGGGGUUUUGAGAUUGAUUUAAUU